rnacentral:rRNA from 1 species
AAGCGUGCGACAGGCGGUUAUGUAAGACAGAUGUGAAAUCCCCGGGCUCAACCUGGGAACUGCAUUAGUGACUGCAUAGCUGGAGUACGGCAGAGGGGGAUGGAAUUCCGCGUGUAGCAGUGAAAUGCGUAGAUAUGCGGAGGAACACCGAUGGCGAAGGCAAUCCCCUGGGCCUGUACUGACGCUCAUGCACGAAAGCGUGGGGAGCAAACAGGAUUAGAUACCCUUGU